rnacentral:rRNA from 1 species
GAUGAACGCUGGCGGCGUGCCUAAUACAUGCAAGUCGAGCGAACAGACGAGGAGCUUGCUCCUCUGACGUUAGCGGCGGACGGGUGAGUAACACGUGGAUAACCUACCUAUAAGACUGGGAUAACUUCGGGAAACCGGAGCCAAUACCGGAUAAUAUAUUGAACCACAUGGUUCAAUAGUGAAAGACGGUUUUGCUGUCACUUAUAGAUGGAUCCGCGCCGCAUUAGCUAGUUGGUAAGGUAACGGCUUACCAAGGCAACGAUGCGUAGCCGACCUGAGAGGGUGAUCGGCCACACUGGAACUGAGACACGGUCCAGACUCCUACGGGAGGCAGCAGUAGGGAAUCUUCCGCAAAGGGCGAAAGCCUGACGGAGCAACGCCGCGUGAGUGAUGAAGGUCUUCGGAUCGUAAAACUCUGUUAUUAGGGAAGAACAAAUGUGUAAGUAACUAUGCACGUCUUGACGGUACCUAAUCAGAAAGCCACGGCUAACUACGUG